rnacentral:rRNA from 1 species
UCCGUAGGUGGAUAAUUAAGUCAGAGGUGAAAUCCUGCAGCUCAACUGUAGAAUUGCCUUUGAUACUGGUUAUCUUGAGUUAUUAUGAAGUAGUUAGAAUAUGUAGUGUAGCGGUGAAAUGCAUAGAUAUUACAUAGAAUACCAAUUGCGAAGGCAGAUUACUAAUAAUCAACUGACACUGAUGGACGAAAGCGUGGGGAGCGAACAGGAUUAGAUACCCCUGGUAGUCC